UACGGAGGGUCCGAGCGUUAUCCGGAAUCAUUGGGUUUAAAGGGUCCGUCGAUGGGACAUUAAGUCAGGGGUGUAAUGUUGCAGCUCAACUGCAGAAUGGCCUUUGAUACUGGUGUUUUUGGGUUAUGUUGAUGUGGUCGGAACAUGUGGUUUAGCGGUUCAAUGCAUAUAUAUCACAUAGGACGCCGAUUGCGAAGGCAUGUCACAAAGCAUAUACUGACGCUGAGGGACGAAAGCGUGGGGAGCGAACGGG
rnacentral:rRNA from 1 species